UGUGUCACUGGGGUUAUGCUUUGAGGUUUCUAACUCUCAAGCCGGGCCUAGUGACUCUCU
rnacentral:pre_miRNA from 1 species